rnacentral:lncRNA from 1 species
UGUGGUUGAUGGGGUGUUUUCCACUUGUCUUUUUGGCUGGGGUCUCUACUGCCUCCGCCAUUUUCAUCUUCUCGGGGUCCUUAUCACUUUGGUGUUCUUUGCUUCAUGCCAUUUCGGUGUCGCAUCGUACGCAUUGGGUCUUUGUGCUGGGGCCGUUGUUGUUAUUUGUUUUUCUCUGUCUGCCUUGUGUUCUUGUACCCUUUUGUUUGCCGAUCUCGCUGUUGAUCCUCUGUAGAUUUCUUCCCUGUUGGUGUCUUUAUCUAUUUUAAGUUCUUAUAUCCCUGGCAUGUCUAACAUGUUUCUUCGAUCUUUA